rnacentral:rRNA from 1 species
ACAGCAGUAGCCACGGUAAUACGUAGGGUGCAAGCGUUAAUCGGAAUUACUGGGCGUAAAGCGUGCGCAGGCGGUUAUAUAAGACAGAUGUGAAAUCCCCGGGCUCAACCUGGGAACUGCAUUUGUGACUGUAUAGCUAGAGUACGGCAGAGGGGGAUGGAAUUCCGCGUGUAGCAGUGAAAUGCGUAGAUAUGCGGAGGAACACCGAUGGCGAAGGCAAUCCCCUGGGCCUGUACUGACGCUCAUGCACGAAAGCGUGGGGAGCAAACAGGAUUAGAUACCCCAGUAGUCCCUGUCUCUUAUAC